AUGCCUCUCUGGGACCGUGGAAGGCUGAGGGAGCGGUCUCGGGGUGGCGGGCAAAUCCCAGGGGGGAUCUGCAAGGUUUGUGGAAGCCCUGGAGCCGGGACAAGGGGUCCGAGCCGGACCCGGGUCUGCGCUGCCCCUUUCCCUUGGUCCCUGGUCCUCUGCAGGAAGCCCACAGAACCUCGAGCUGCUCCGCGGAGCCACCGCCUCUGCCAAGGGAAUGGCGGUGGGCCGCUGGGCAGAGGAGGGGAGGCGAGCCGCGGGACUGGCGGCGCUGGCUGGGGACGGGUGGGCGUGCUCUCCGGGCCUGGCCCGAGAGCCUUCCCGCAUCCCUGGGAUGGCAAAAGCCAGGCGGUGGUGGGCAGCUGGGCCGGGUGGCGGGGGCUGGGGGGACGAGUCAAAAGCUGGGCGCGGACCCCGGGGCGGUGGGGACGACGGGGAGUCGGUGGGGCGCGGGGCGCGGCGGGGGGGGGCGGGGCGCGGCGCUUAGAGACCCGGCUCCUUGAGGGGCCUCCGGGGCACCUGGCGCCUGCCCUUGGCAGCCGCACGCCCAGACCGUGCCCUUUCGGGCGGCUUCUCCUCCUUCCCUUUCCUCAGCAAGCCCUCCUCCAGCGGACACGCGCAUCCGUUCCGCCAACGCCCCUCUGCCCUCGCUCUGUAGCCGGCUCUCUGGCCCCUCGUGGCUGCGCCUGUCCUCCCCGCCUGGAGACAGGGCUGCGGGGAGGGGCGAUAGGGCAACAGGUGAGAGCCCCGGGUUGGGGCGCGGGCAAGGGCGCGGAGGCGGGCGCGGGCGGGGCGCGCCCAGGCCUCUCGCAAGUCGCCGGCCAGGGAAGCCCGGCCGCUACCAAGCCCAGGCUUGCGCGCGGCUCUCUUGCCACCAAAGGGGCUUCGACCACCCCGCGUGUGUUGGCCCCCGGGGCGGCCCAGUGUCCUGGGCCCCGUCAUUUCCAGGAAAAGCAGUGCCCCACCUUUGGAGGCGUGCACCCUUCGAUAGCUCAGCUGGUAGAGCGGAGGACUGUAGCCUGGACUCGUGUGGACAUCCUUAGGUCGCUGGUUCGAUUCCGGCUCGAAGGAGGUGCCUGA
rnacentral:tRNA from 1 species